GUUUAAACAUAAUUAAAUUUUCUUUUUUAUGUAUGUUUGUUCUAACUCAAAAACAUUUAUGUUAAAUUCUUUCUUUGUUGUUUUAGGUUUUUGGAUUUUUUUUUUUUAAUUUUGAUAUAAAAUUAUUCUCUUAUUUCUUUCUUUCUUUUUUAUUUUUUAUUUUAUAGUAAUUAACUUUUUAUGUUAUAUUCUCUUUUAAUUUUUUCAUUAUUCAUUAUUUAUGUACUCUAUUAUUAAUUUUUUUACAUAUAUAUAUGUAUAUAUAUAUAUUUAUUCUUCCAAUUAAAUUAAUUUAUGUUUCAAAUUUUAUUUACAUUCUCUACGUUUUUUUUAGAUUUAUUCACCUUUAAUGUUAUUUUUUCUUUAUAUUUUAAUUCUGUUCAGAUUUUGUUUAUCCCAUUUUAAAGUAUCUUACUUGUAUUUCAAUCUUUCCUAACCUCUUUGAAUCUUAGAUAUAUUUUCUCGUUUUUUUUCAGAAUUAAUUAUGUUAAAUAUUUUUUUCUGCUUUUUCUUUUGUUGAUUUUUACAUCGACAUUGCUCUCUCUUAUUUAAUAUAAUUUAAUUCCUUAAAUUUAUUUAUUUUAAAGUUAAAUUCAAUUGUUGUGUUUUGAUUAUUUUAAAUUCGGUUAUUAAAUUUGUCAAAUUCAGUUUUAUAUUAUGUUCUCUUUCUAUUUUUUCACUUUUUAUGAAUUUAUUUAAGUUUUUUGUUAAAUUUCUUUUCUGUUUUUAUUUUUGUUUUUACUUUUAUUUAAAUUUAAUUAAUUUUUUUAUUGAAUUCCUUCUUUCCAUUAUAAUUAUUUAUUAUCUUGUUAAAUUAGUAAUUCUACUAAUAAUUUUUUUUUUUUCCAAUAGGUAUAUCUUUACAGGAUUCCAAUUCCACAAGCAACAAAAAUUAAUUUAUGUAUUAUAUUAUAUUUCAAUUUUUCGCGCGAUUUUUGAAUGAAAAAAAUAAGCAUUAAGAGCCAGCCAAUCAGAACAUCCCUUAAUUCGAAACGCGGGACGAAUAGGUGCGCAUCGCAGUGCGCAUCGGAGUGCGCAACGCAGUGCGCAUCACACUGCGCAUGUCGUCAGUCUACAGUUGAAAAUUGUGCGGAGUGGAUGUGUCGUCGCGAAUUCGGAUUACGCAAUUUAAUUGAUAGCGUAUGGUAAUAUUCUCGAAGGCGGGAAAAAAUCCAAUAUGGACGCCAUGGACGUGUUGGUGACUUUCUUUCGUGGUAAAAAUUUUAUAUUUCGAAUUUUCUUCAGCUUUCAAUGGUAUAUCUUUACAGGAUUCCAAUUCCACAAGCAACAAAAAUUAAUUUAUGUAUUAUAUUAUAUUUCAAUUUUUCGCGCGAUUUUUGAAUGAAAAAAAUAAGCAUUAAGAGCCAGCCAAUCAGAACAUCCCUUAAUUCGAAACGCGGGACGAAUAGGUGCGCAUCGCAGUGCGCAUCGGAGUGCGCAACGCAGUGCGCAUCACACUGCGCAUGUCGUCAGUCUACAGUUGAAAAUUGUGCGGAGUGGAUGUGUCGUCGCGAAUUCGGAUUACGCAGUAAGUUAUUUUACUUUUAUUAUUACCAAAUUUAUCAAUUAUUGUUAAUUUAGUUUUUCAAAUAAUCCAUUCGGUAUAGUGAAAACGAAAUUAAUUAGUUCUUUGCGUAUCUUUGUGUCUUUUCCUUCGAUUGUUCAUUUUGCGUCUAUUGCGUCAUUAGUGUCCCGUAUCGGAAUAUUUCGAGACAGAAUUUGAAAUCAUAUAUUGGUUUUUUUUAUGAUAUAAUUUUAAUCGUAUUACGUACGUUUAUUUUACAAUUUCUUGAUCUUUAUUUUUUAUCAUUUUAGUCAUAUUAAAGUAAAAGAACUUUUUUACGGUUUAUUACGUAUUCAUUUCGUGAAGUCGAAGUAUCAUUCAAGUGCAUAUUUUUCCGAAUGUAUAUAUAUUGCGUCUUCUCGCGUAUAUGUUUAUUGUUUACUUUUUUUGGUCUAUCGUUUAUAAUUUGCUCGAGGCUAGAAACAUUUCUUAUGAUAUUUCACUUCUGAGAAAUUGGAUUUGUGUUCAAACAUGUUUCGACUUGUCGAGCGUAUCCCCUCUCCAUCUUGUUAUUCGAUGCGCGAAAUCGAAGCGCAAAGUGACAUUGUUCGUUGAUUCUUCGUGACGACUAGACAUUUGAAAUUUUCUCGAGAUAUAUGUUCUAUUUAUUGCACAGUAUUUUAAUAUUAUUUUUUUUAUACUACUUUUGUUAUUAUUUGUGCGUUAAUUAAUACACGUUUAUUCAGUAUUUUAUUCAACAUUGUUAGAAUUGGUAGUUUUUUGACAAUUAAAUAAUUUUGAGUUUCUCGUUCGUAUCUCAUAUAAUUCGAGUGUCGAAUUACAAGAUGGCUUAUAUCGUGAGUUUUUAUUUGAUUUGGUUUAUUUUGAUACUUUAAUAUAAUCUAAUUUUAUACAUAUUAUUCAUUUACUUAGAAGUUUUGAUUUUCUUCUGCGCAGAUUUAAUUGAUAGCGUAUGGUAAUAUUCUCGAAGGCGGGAAAAAUCCAAUAUGGACGCCAUGGACGUGUUGGUGACUUUCUUUCGUGGUAAAAAUUUUAUAUUUCGUAUGUAUAAAUUUUUAUUCUGUUUUCUUGAAUUAUUUAAUUUAGAUUGUUGUUAAGCAAUUCAUAAUAAAAUUACGUUCUAGUUAAAGAAAAAUGAAAAAAUUAAAAAUUUAUGAGAAAUUUUAAUGAUUUAUCAUUGGAAAUUAAAUUUUAAAAUCUGAUAAUGAAUAUUUUAUUAAAUUUCAGAUAUUAAUAAAUAAUUGGUAACAUUUUUAUACGUAAUUCAUGAUCAGUUAAAAUGGAAAGGCAAUAUUUCCAGAACAAAUGCUCGAUAAGAAGAAGAAAAAUAUCAAAAAGAUAUUUCUUUUUCUUCUAUUCCCCAUCCCUCUACUAAUUUAAUGUUAAUUUCAGAAAAUAUUUGUGACCGCGCGCAAUGCGGUUAAUAGAAUCAGUGUUUGCUUCGUCAUAGUAUUUUGAAUAUUUUUUAGAGCACAACAGCUCUUAUUAAAUUUAAUUAGAAUAAUCAAACGCGAAGAUAGAAUCAGUGUUUGUUCGCCGAUUAUAAUAUAUACGGACGCGUUAUUAGAGUUUCUUAUUUUUUAUUUUUUUUUUUAUUCUCAAUAUUCGUUUUCGGCACAGGGUAGAGUCAGUGCUUCUCUCAAGAGAAUAAGGCGAUCAUCCACCACGCGAAGAGAUGCUGAUGAUCUUUAUGAAGAUUUUUGGAUUUUAAUCUUAAAAAAUAUUUGUGACCACGUGCAAUGUGGUUAGUAGAAUCAGUGUUUGCUUCGUUAUAGUAUUUUGAAUAUUUUUUUAGAGCACAACAGCUCUUAAAUUAAAUUUUAAUUAGAAUGAUCAAACGCGAAGAUAGAAUCAGUGUUUGUUCGCCGAUUAUAAUUUAUACGGACGCGUUGUUAACUUCUUAUUUUUAUUUUUUUUUAUUUUAAAUAUUCGUUUUCGGCACAGGGUAGAGUCAGUGCUUCUCUCAAGAGAAUAAGGCGAUCAUCCAUCACGCGAAGAGAUUUCUUCUACCUGAUGACUUCCUGAUGUACCUGAUGGGCUAUGGUAACAGUGAAGGCGUUCGUCGCAUCAUAUGGUGAGUCGCAUGGUUUUUGGUUCCUCCGGUCACUCAACCAUGUCGUAGGAUGAAAGAUCCGAAUCGACACGAGUGACUGGUUGUAUACGUAGAAUUUUGCACGAGCACAAUGACCGCGGAUAUUUAUUUAUAAUAAUUAUCCGCGAGUAGUAACGAUUAUUUCUUUUGUGUUUUAUUUAUUAGUUCAGGCUAGGGUCUUCUUACGCUUCGCGUUUUUGAUUAAUAUAAAAUGUUUAGUAAUUUUAAUAAUGCCAAAACAUAUAAUAAUUAUUAUUAUAUAAUUAUCAGUG